rnacentral:rRNA from 1 species
UAGAGUUUGAUCCUGGCUCAGGAUGAACGCUAGCUACAGGCUUAACACAUGCAAGUCGAGGGGCAUCAUGGAGUUUGCUUGCAAACUCUGAUGGCGACCGGCGCACGGGUGAGUAACGCGUAUCCAACCUUCCCUAUAGUAGAGGAUAGCCCGGCGAAAGUCGGAUUAAUACUCUAUGUUUUCCGUUGCAGACAUCUAAGAUGGAACAAAGGCUUGCCGCUAUAGGAUGGGGAUGCGUCUGAUUAGGUAGUCGGGCGGGGUAACGGCCCACCGAGCCAUGAUUCAGUAGGGGUUAUGAGAGGAAGGUCCCCCACAUUGGAACUAAGAACACGGUCCAAACUCCUACGGGAGGCAGCAGUGAGGAAUAUUGGUCAAUGGGCAAGAGCCUGAACCAGCCAAGUAGCGUGCAGGACGACGGCCCUAUGGGUAGUAAACUGCUUUUAUGCGGGGAUAAAGUUCACUACGUGUAGUGUUUUGUAGGUACCGCAUGAAUAAGGACCGGCUAAUUCCGUGCCAGCAGCCGCGGUAAUACGGAAGGUCCGGGCGUUAUCCGGAUUUAUUGGGUUUAAAGGGAGCGCAGGCCGGAGGUCAAGCGUGACGUGAAAUGUAGCCGCUCAACGGCUGAACUGCGUCGCGAACUGGCUUUCUUGAGUGAGUUCGAUGUGGGCGGAAUUUGUGGUGUAGCGGUGAAAUGCUUAGAUAUCACGAAGAACUCCGAUUGCGAAGGCAGCCCACAAGGCCUUUACUGACGCUAAAGCUCGAAGGUGCGGGUAUCGAACAGGAUUAGAUACCCUGGUAGUCCGCACGGUAAACGA